GAUGAACGCUAGCGACAGGCUUAACACAUGCAAGUCGAGGGGCAGCAUGAUUUGUAGCAAUACAGAUUGAUGGCGACCGGCGCACGGGUGAGUAACACGUAUCCAACCUGCCGACAACACUGGGAUAGCCUUUCGAAAGAAAGAUUAAUACCGGAUGGCAUAGUUUUCCCGCAUGGGAUAAUUAUUAAAGAAUUUCGGUUGUCGAUGGGGAUGCGUUCCAUUAGGCAGUUGGCGGGGUAAACGGCCCACCAAACCAACGAUGGAUAGGGGUUCUGAGAGGAAGGUCCCCCACAUUGGAACUGAGACACGGUCCAAAACUCCUACGGGAGGCAGCAGUGAGGAAUAUUGGUCAAUGGACGAGAGUCUGAACCAGCCAAGUAGCGUGAAGGAUGACUGCCCUAUGGGUUGUAAACUUCUUUAUACGGGAAUAAAGUUAGCCACGUG
rnacentral:rRNA from 1 species